UUUUUUUAGUAUUGUGAUGCUUCUCUGGCUUUAUUUAAAUCAAUGACAAGUAAUUCUUGUAAUGAACAAUAUUAGCUAUAAUUUUUGAAGAAUCAAUUAGUAAAAUACAUACUUUUCUGUGAAUCCUUUCAGUGUAUAAUCCAACAUUUUUACUGGUUGUGCAGUGAUUGAACUAUUGCUUUUAAUACCAUUUAUUAUUUCUACAGGUAUAGUUAAAACUGUGUAAAGCUUAGACUUCAAUAAAUAGUGGAUAUUGCAUGAAUAUUUCUUGCUUGUAGGAAGCAAGACAGUAUCUUACAAUCUAACAGUGGGUGCAUUUAUGGGUAAAAUUCAGUACUGGGAAGGGGGCCAGUUCCCAGUGAUUUCAUUCUUCAGUAUAGAACAUUAAUGCAGGAUCUUGCAGUAGCCAAGGGAAGAAGCCAACUCUCCUGACCCUAAUCAUCCAAAAUGACACUAUGGCUGGAAGCCACAAGACAUUGAGAACACAGCCUGGUGAGCCAGGGAGAGGGGAAGCCAAGGAGCAGGUAGCAGCUGGCACUGGUUCCUCAAGUCGAGAGGAGGACUGGUGCGGAGGAGGCCUGGGCAGGCUGCUUGGCGGCCCUAAGGCACUGCCAGCUCCAUCAGCGGGUGCCACAUUUCCCUGCAGCCAGCCUCCUGUGUGUAUACUCUUAGCCAGGGCCCUUGCGUAUCAGCUGGUUUGGGAAUUGCAGGUUAACUUCCCUGGUUCUCAUCCCAUAAAAAGUAUUAUUUCCCCUAUGUAUUCUGUUGUAAUAUUUAUGUUACUGCAGUGUAAGUGCUUUAUUUAUUCCAUUUCCCUCAUAGUACUCUGUCUUAGGACAAGAAAGCAUCAAACCCUAUUUCAAAACUUCAUCAAAUGUAUUUCAUAUAGAAUUAGCAUGUGUUAAAACAGUAUAAUACAGUGUAGUGUGCGUUUCUAAAUAAUUAUGAUCCCCAGGAUGGUAAAGACAAUCUGAGAAGCUGGAACACAAUGAUUUCUCUUUCCAACUUACAUAUCUUCUUUUGUUCAGAAAAAGGAUGGAGUUAAAAAGGCAGGCAGUAAGGAUUUCACCUCUGUUGUUAAUCCAUGAAAUACCUUAGAGUAAUGAUUCUAAGUUUAGUGCCCCGAAAUAACUAAAUUCAGUAGAAAAAUAAAUGUUAUGUUUUAAAUGUACUUUUCUCAGCACUGUAUUCAACAUCCAGGUUAGCAGCUGAAUUGCCUUCCACAUUAGCCAACCAGUCUAUAAUUGAGUUCACUACAAGACUGAUUUCAGAACUUGACCUUGGCUACAUCUUCUUACCUUAUGUUAAGCUAUUUCUUCUCCAUGUUUUCUUAAAUUUAUUCUAGUUGGAAGCUCUUUGGUUUCUCAGUGUUUCAUAAUGGAAAGGGGCAGAACACAUAAAACCAGGAAGAAAUAAAUUGUUAUUUUCCCUGUCCAAACUGAAGAGUUUCAAAGCAUGGUCUGGGCUUGAGAAGCAGGAUACUGUGACCGCAGUAUUUUCCUGUUGGCGAGCCCUGUGGUAGAUGCUGUGUUGUUCUGGUGACAAAGCAGGAUCUUACACCACAAGUAAAUGUCAUCCAUACAAAAUGGAAUCAUUCUAAACUCAGCAUGAUAGUUAAAGCUUUUGGCUUUCAGAAAACUGGGACUUAAGCAGCAAAUCAAACAACCUGUUUUAUUUUUUACUCAGUUCUGUGACAUCUAGUCAGAAUCUUACUUUCUGUGCAGUCAUAGAAUUCUCUCAUUCCACUCACUGUUGUGCACUGAUGCUGUGAAAUGUAAGAGUUCCAGGCACACGUAAGAAAAUACCAACUUGCCAUAGAAGAUUUAUUGUUGAGGCAACGGUGAAAUUCUUUCUUUAUACUCAUUUCUGAGCCUGGAACAGCUUCCUUGUCUCCAGCAGAUGAGAACAAAAUCUGGCUCAUUUAAUCUGAUUUUGUCUCAACCAACAGAUCUUUCUCUCUAGUUCUGGUCUGCAGAGCUGAUUUUUAUUAUAACUUCUAUACAAAAAAAAAAUAAAUCUCAGCAUAGAGAGCCUCUGGUGUCUCCUCUGGAUGUUUUGUAACUCCCACUGUUCACCAGUAACUAUACUGUUUUUUUAGUUUGAUAAUGAUGCCUGGAAUACUGGAAGAUGUAACAUUCACUCAGCCAAAACGAUUUAUCUUGGUAUAACAGGAUCAGCAUCUCAGCUGGGACUUCUGGAUGCUACUCUACUACAAACAAAAUAAGAGAACAACAGUCAGCUGAAAUUAAUAGUAUAUUGGAGGCAUGCCCUUACUCUCCUCAGACAUGGAAGAACGUGUUGAGGAUAUUUAAUCAGAGCACAGUAAAUGGAGAGAAAUGGAUUUUUCCAUAAAUAUCAAACACAGUGGAGAGCAGCUAUCACUAGUAACCAGCAGUGCUUCUUAAAAUCCUGCUACAACAUUCUUAAUGGAUGGUUUUCCUUGUGGCUACUUAGGCAUGUGUACUGUGCUAGCUCCCCCUUCUUGCACUGCAAUACGUAGGAAGCUAUUAUUCCCAAAUGGAGCGUUUGCUGACAUCACAUGCGGUAGGAUCCUUUUGUUUGCCUGUGUCUCCUGCAUUGAAAUGUUUGUCUGAGUCACAAAUCCCACUGCCUUUCUUCCUCUGUGUCAUGCUUGCUUGAGAGCUUCUCCCUGACUCACAGGUUUGAAAUUUUGACACAGCCUGGGUUGCUGCAUGGCAGCUGAAUACUUUUCCUUUUAAUACUUUAUUAUGUAAUUUAUAUCUAAACACUAUAAUGAUCCAGAAAUCACUGCCACUUUUUUUUUUUUUUUUGCAGCUUUUUGAAUAGACAGGUUUCGUGACUCAGAUUCAGCACUGAAUUUUGUUUCAAAGCAAAGGCAGCUUAGUGUUACUAAAUUAUAAAUUAAAGAUAGUGACUCCCACAACUUGAGUUCUCCAUUUAGCUUGCUGGCUGAGUUUCCUCAGAUAUAACAGUAUCGAGCACUGUGCCAGAAAGGGGUCAUAUGUGUGCAUGUGUACAGACAAACACCUCUCAUAAUUGAAGUAAUUACUAUUUUGCAUUGCAGUACCUCUUUCCCUCUAAUAAUCUGAUCGAUUUGUUUUCUUUUACUAGAAAGGACAAAACCAUGCUGUAUUUUCAGUGUACAUUCAUUCCUUUAUUUGGUUUAGAUUUGGGAGCUGCUAAUCUAUUGCUGGUGUCUAAGCAGCCUGGGUUUCCUCUUUAUUAAAGCCAUGAACAAAACAGAUCCUGAUUACAGCAGCUCACUGUGAAUGCUUUGGUAAAGAAUGAACAUGGAAUUUAAGGGCUAUGCAGCAGUUUGGUUUGAACUUGAUGAUAAAAUAUUCUUACUAUGAUAGAAGCCAAAAAUUACCAUGCUGGAUUAAAUCUUUUGUCCUUCAGAUCUAGGUUUUCGUCUCUAUUGUUGCCACUAAAAGAUAAAUGAGAAGUUCAAAACAGUGCUUUGAUUGUCCUUGAUCAAGGACUUUGCGGCAGGGUUCAUUUCAGCACCUUCUGCAUUUUGAGUGACAGCUGGAGGCUGCACGUCUCGGAAGCCAUGAGACUGUGAGAUAUAAGCAAAAUCAUGUGAUAACACUUCUAUGGACAUAAACCAUGAGUAACCAGUUCCCAGAAGAUCAGAAUAAGGUGAAUACAUUCAGGACUGAAAAAGGAAAUACCUAUUCAACAGUUUGAAGAUCUCAUCUUAUGGCAGCAUUAAAAUCUGCAGGAAGUGCUAUGGCAACGUGUUUCCAUGAGGACACAUGGCAAAUAGGUAUGGCAUGUACCUAUGUAACUGACAUUUU